UACGUAGGUGGCAAGCGUUGUCCGGAAUUACUGGGUGUAAAGGGAGCGCAGGCGGGAGAGCAAGUCAGUGGUGAAAUGCAUGGGCUUAACCCAUGAACUGCCAUUGAAACUGUUUUUCUUGAGUGGAUCAGAGGCAAGCGGAAUUCCGAGUGUAGCGGUGAAAUGCGUAGAUAUUCGGAGGAACACCAGUGGCGAAGGCGGCUUGCUGGGGUCUAACUGACGCUGAGGCUCGAAAGUGUGGGGAGCAAAC
rnacentral:rRNA from 1 species